GGGCGUCUAGCUCAAAUGGUAGAGCGCGCGCUUAGCAUCAGUCUUCUCUUCUAUCAAGAGAGAUCAUCAUGCGCGAGGUACACGGUUCGAUCCCGUGGUCGUCCA